UCCCUCUCUUCUCCAGAAACUUCUCCUGGAAAGGCCCUUUCUGAGCACUCACCCCGUCAUUCUUGAUGGGCCUGUUUCACAUCCUCUUCCCAGCUGUUGUCAUGUCUUUUCCUCCUCCCGUUUCAUGCUCACAUUGCUCCUGUGACCUGGUGACUCCCUUUAACACCAGGGGUGACAAAGAGCAUCCUAAAUUCAUGGAAUGUCUUUUAUCUACGACUUGGGAAGCUGAACUGUCUUGAUGAAGCAUGACAUCCUAGGCAGAAUCUCAGGGUAGCAUGAACGGCUGUGCUUCUUUAUUUUUUCUUCUAAAGGGUUAAACAUUUUCCAAGUUGGCUGCCAUCAGCAUGGGCUGGUUUAUGCUGUGACUUUCUUUUUCUAGGAAGAUUAAUGCCAGAGCCAUUUAUCUGUGACGAUACCUUUGAAGAGAAACAAAUGAAAAAGUGGAAUUUCAGUCCAAUCUAGUCUAACGAAUUCAAUCUGUUGCAGAAAUAACAUGGGGAAGCAAGGGAAUGAACACUUGCUGGGCAGACGCAUCAAUCAUCUGAAUCGUGCCACUGAGCCGGACUAUAACUAUAGCAAGAACGAAUCUAACUAUAGUCUUAUUAGGUGAAAGACUGGAUUCUAUUUAUCUUUUUAUGUAGAGCCAACUCAAAAGCUUGCAAGACUCAAGCACCUUUUCUGUUCUCUCUCGGGCUUUGAAAAACUGUUCCCAUUAUCAAUUCAGUAUACCCUUAAGGCAAAUUUGUCCAACCCGUGACCGUUUGGCCCAGGAUGGCUUUGAAUGCAGCCCAACACAAACUCGUAAUUUUUCUUAAAGCAUUACGAGAGUUUUUUGCGACAUUUUUAAGCUCAUCAGCUAUCAUUAGUGUUAGUGUAUUUUACGUGCGGCCCAAGACAAUUCUUCUUCUUCCAGUGUGGCCAAAGGAAGCCAAAAGAUUGGAUACCCCUGCUUUAAGCACCCAGUCAGCAAAUUUGAAAAUGUACCAAAGACAAAAGAAAAGGAACCACUCCUGCUCUCCAAAAUCCUGUGAAGUCUUGUGAAGUACUAACUGCACUGUGGGCAAGGUGGCCUCAAAGAGCGAGGACUGGUCAAGUGUACUGUGCCAGAGAGAGUAAAUCAGACUUGGGGACACAUACGCUGGAUUUGAGAGUGGAGGGUUAAAGAAAGGAGGCCAUCUUGGAGAGCAACCGCGGCCUGGGAACAGGGUGAGAGCUGAGAGCAUGCAUCACAUUCCCAGUACCAGUUGUUGGAAGCCAUGAGCCAUCAGGAGACUUAGAACCAUCUGACCUUCAGGAUUGAUCACUAACCUGCGGAAGGAAGGGUGAUGUUCAAUGUUUGAAUUUUCCACCUUAUUGAAAUUAGACUUGUCUGCAACAUUGCUGAACUAAGAAUUAGUUAAUUCAUAUGAAACACCUCUCAUGAUGAUUAACAUAGGUGGUAGCCACUGCAGUUGAAGAUUAUCUGGAAGUUUACAUAUAAGAAGGAUCCAAGCAAAAAUUGUUCUAAAAUAUUUUUCAAUGUGGUCAUCCUUUUCCAUAGCUCCUGCUUAUUGACUGUGUGGCCUACAGGCUGCCCGUGUCCAUCUGGGGGUUGGGGGGACCCUGAUCUAAUCAACACGGACAGGACAGCCUGGGUCAAACUGGCUCUCUCUGAGGUGAUUGAAGGCUGCUGGACUCACACGUUCCGUGGCGCGAAGUCCAAGUGCACACGAGGGCAUAUGGGGCGCUAUGGACUGAAUGUUUGGGUCCCCCCCCAAAAUUCAUAUGUUGAAACGCUGCCCUCCAAUGGGAUGGUAUUGGGAGGUGGGCCUUGGGAGCUGAUUGGGGUGAGAUGAGGUCAUGAGGAAGACACCCCAUGAUGGGAUUAGUGUCCUUAUAAAAAGAGAAGGCACCUGGAGCUCUGUCUCAGCCCUAUGAGGGUGCAGCUAGAAAGCGGCCACCCACAGCCCAGGAAACGGGCUCUCCCCAGGCGUGGAAUCUGCUGGCACCUUGAUCCUGGACAUUGACCUCUGGAACUAAAGAAUACAUGUUUGUUGUUUAAGCCUCUAGUCUACAGUAAUUUGUUAUAGCAGCUGGAGCCUAUUAAGAUGUGGGAGGAGAGCCCUGAAGGAGUGGGACCUUAAGAAAGGGACAUGGUCAGCGUGGCUAGAGAGAGAGGCAGGAAACAGGUGAGAGAGGCCAGGGAGACUGGGGAAUUCUGAUUGCAGAAUACAUGAUUCUGCAAGACUGGCUCACUGGAAGAACUUCCACUUUAGCCCUAGAGGGAGAUGAGCUGUGAGUGGUUUGAGCAGGGGAACAUGAGUGACUGCAUUUUUAGGAGCUCAUGGUUGUUGCUUUCUUGAGGACAGCCUCCAGGGGGAAGGUUGGGACAGAAAGAAGCAGGCACAAGGCAGUUAUGAUAAACCAGGGCAAGGCACUGAGGGAAAAGGUGGGGCUCGGGAGGUGGGGAGAAGGUGCUCCUUUGAGACAGAGCUGGGAGAAUUUGCUGAGGAUUGAUGUGGAGAGGACCCCAGGCCCAAGGAUAUUGCUAUCAUCCACCAGGAUGGAGACGACAAGAGACAGGUUUAAGCCCACGUAGAACUGGAAGAAACCUUCUUUCCUUUUUUCCUUCCUCCUUUUCUCCCUCCUUCCCUCCUUCCCUCCCUCCUUCCCUUCCUUCCCUAUUUCCCCCCCUCCCUUCCUUCCUAUCUUUCUUUUUUCCGGGAUGAGAAAAGCGCCUGCUUGUUUGUGUCCUGACGGGGUGAUCCAGGAGAGGGGAAAUCCCGUGAUGCCCGAGAGGAAGAGGAGAGAAUUGCUGGAGGCCUGUCCUUGAGAUGGCAGGAAGGGAUGGGUUUAGUGCCCCAGAGGAUUUGGCCUUGGUUGGUUCAUGAACAGUUGGCACAAACAAUUCCUCUGCAGUAACAGGAGGGAAGGCCAAGUGUGGGUCUAGACACGGGGAGGUGGGUAGACGCAGACAUCCUUUGUUAAUUGGUUUUUCUCAGUGAAAAAGAAGGUUAGGUCAUCAGAUGAGAGUGAGGCUGGGAGAAGGGUUGAAAGUUUGGGGAGAGGGGAAUAGGAGUGACAUAGUCUCCUAGGAUAGGGGGACACUGAAGUGACCAGGUGAACACAAGAUUUCCAGGCAGCUUGGAGGGUCCUCCUGAGGUCAGUGGUCCUAAAUUCAAGUGCGGCCAGUAGACCAGGUAGGAGUUUUUCUCCAGUAUAAUCAGGUGCAAGGGUGCAGUGAGGGGCUGGUAGAGUUGGGUUUAAUUGGGUUUGGGGGCUUUCCAGGUUAACGUGACUGUGGGAGAAUGGACAAAAGUGCUGAAUGCAUAUGGAGGGGAAGGAUUAAAAUGGUGGGCUCUGGAAUCCAAGCUGGUGUGGAGGGAAUCAAGGAUGAAGAGGAAAGGAGGGACCAUUGCAAAUCUAGCAUCAGGGAGGUGUAGGUCCCAGGGAGAUCAAAUUAUUGUUGGGGUGGAGGUGCAUGGCCAGAAAACUGGAGGUGGGUUCAGGGAGUGGGAUGCUUGACAGAGAUUAUGAAGGGUCACAGUUAUGAUCAUGACACUGUCUAUGAUGUGAUGGAAAGUGGCUCCUGGUAUCCUGUGGGCAGCAGUAACCUGGAAGAGAGGAGGAAGCCACUGAAGGGCCAGGUAUUGGAGGGACCAUCAAUGUGGAUAUGCACACCGAUGCAUUAUAGCAGAAGCAGUGCUGGGGAGACAGACAGGGACCAGGUGCUAAGGUCUUUAGGGAAUGAGGCCGGUGGCCUCAGAGGAGACCUCUAAGGCUCAAGGUUGGUGCCACAGUCUACAGCAUAGGCCACACAGCUUUUUCUUUAGGCAGGGAUUAUGGGGGACAUGAUGAGGGCAGGAGAAAAAGUAUAAACAUUUGAAAAUGAUGGCAAGGAACAAACAGGACUAUCUCCUACUUCUAAGCCCAGGGAUAGAAUGGGUGUGAGCAAAAGACACCGACCCCUCAGCAGACAGAAGCACAAGUGGCCUCUCAGGGCAGCACCAGAUCCAUUCAGGCAAGCGACUGAAGGCAUUGCUCACAGCAGAUAUUUGUGAGCUGCAGAAAAUGACAAAUACAUAGUUUAUUAAUAUUUUCAACUGGAUUCCUAUGACAUUUAUUUUAAAUAACAUGUUUGCUAAGACAUAUGAACUUUUAAGACUCAUUUAUUUCUUACCUGUCCAUCAUUGUUCUUUCAGAAUUCAGACAUUUCAACUCUGGAACUGUUAUUAUCUGGCAAAUUGCAAUGCAUUAUAAUUGUUAUGCUCUUAUGCAGACCAGGCAGCUUUGCUCAAACAAUAGCUGGAUAGUGACAUUCCACGUUUCUAUUUAGUUUGUUUCAGCAGUUGUAAAACACAGGCAGCACUGCUGCCCCCAGGUGGUGUGCAGGAAAACUGCGUCUUCAUCUUCUAAGAAACACCUACCUGAGCGCCUUGUUGGUAUAGGCUGUCUGGCCUCAUCUUUUGAACUUGAUACAACUCAGUGGAAUGACUGUAAAGGCUACUAAAUGUAGUGUUUUACUGUAGCUGAUACACACAGGUAAUUAUUUAUUAAUUGACAACUCUAAGAAAAUGAAUACUCCUCUUCACACCCAGUGCCCCAAUACACAACCAUUGAUGUGUGUAUGAAGAUAAACAUGCAUACAUUUCCAAUUCCUAUGGUGUUUGAAGAAGAGAUGGAUUAGUGUGAAUAUUUAAGAAUUUUCAAUCUUCAGAACUUAAAAUGAGCAUGCAAAUAACCGUUAAGCAUGUGAAAUUAAAUAAAAACUUAAAAGAAUUCAAAUUUAAGCUGUUGGAACUUUAAAUUAUCCCGAGUCUUGAAAGGAAUGACUAUGCAGCCUGCAUCAAGCAUCAUGCAGCUGCAACUUCUGCCUUUCAUGUCACCAUACAUAAUUAAGACCAAAUGGUGCCAGAGAUAAGCCCCCCUCAGAUCACUACCCCUUCUCAUGGAGUAAUAAUUUUUUUUUUUUUUGAGACGGAGUCUCCUCGCUCUGUCACCAGACUGGAGUGCAGUGGUGUGAUCUCAGCUCACUGCAACCUCCACCUUCUGGGUUCAAGUGAUUCUCCUGCCUCGGCCUCCUGAGUAGCUGGGACUACAGGCACGCGCCAUCACGCCCAGCUAAUUUUUGUAUUUUUAGCAGAGAUGGGGUUUCACCAUUUUGGCCAGGAUGGUCUCGAUCUCUUGACCUCGUCAUUUGCCUGCCUUGACCUCCCAAAGUGCUGGGAUUACAGGCAUGAGGCACUGUGCCUGGCCGAGUAAUUUUUUUUUUUUUUUAGAAUGUAACAAUCUGUAAUCAAUCAGAUUGCUGUAGUGUAUGGAAAAUGUUGCAAUCCUGCUAAAAUUUCCAUAUAGAUGAACCCUUAACCUCUCCACUUUGGAACACUGACUCCAUUGGUUCAGUGUUUCGGGGUGGCCAUCCUUGAGCUUUGUACUCAAAUAAACUCUAUACUUAAUCAU
rnacentral:lncRNA from 10 species